rnacentral:lncRNA from 1 species
UGCACCCAUGGUGUAUAAUAUGACACUAGUCAUGAGAGAGAGAACGUGGUGAAAGAGGGAGUAUAGAGGCGCAGCCUUACAUGAUAAAUGGCCGUUUUAACAAUUAUACUCGAACUGGAAGAGACACUACAUUAAUUUCCAUUGAAUUUCAAAACGUUUUGUUAUUAAAACUAAUUGAACAACAAAACAAUAAAAAUCUACCAUCAUAAGGCGUUAGAGACAUGCCAUUUAUGAUCGAAACUUAUUAAGGCUUUUGAUAUUCAAACUUCCCAAAACGACUUUUUGUAAUUAAAACCGAUUUAACUGAAUGGUGAUUUAGAA